AAAUUAUUCUUUGAAAUUUCUUAUUGAUUUAUCCUUCCCCACUUUCCUUCCCACAAUAUAGGCCCAGAAAACAGAAGACAACCUAUUCACAUUUCAAAGCAUAGUAGAUGAUGUAUUUGUUAUCAUUGAAAAUGCACAUUGAUAAGAGCCAUGAAGACUGGGAGCUUGAUCAGCAGUGUUUCCGUGCUUUCGAGGUCAACCUGAACCCCUGGGAGCCUGCCUUCUGUGACCGUCACACCAGCAGACAGCUGCACUGUGAGUCCCGACCUGCGAUCUCAGUGACACUGCCCAGGAACCCACACAGUUCCUCUUGGGUGUUGGGCACCUGUUCCCACCUAAGCUGUUCUCCACUGUCCCUUAAUCUAUCUUCUCUCUGAAGGAGGGAUCCCUCCUCAUGCUUCACAGAGAGUUUGAAGCCAUCCAAGAGGACAUCGGUCAUUUUCUUCUGCACUCCAAAUUCAGUGCUUCACACAUGCUAUGUGACACCACAGUUAUCCACUCCCUUGCUUUCUGAAGUCUCCCAGAAACGUCCCACAUGCUGUAGCAUCGCCUUGCUUGAGAGGGUGGGGAACAGAUGCAAAUGCUCUCCGUCUUCUCGCCACCACUCCAGCUCUCUACUCCCUGUAACAGCCAUGCUUCUCUGAAUGUUCGAUUCACUUGAUCGCUCCCCUCCCCCACCCAGUCUCGCCUCACUCUUCAACCCAGUCUGAUUUGCCUCCCACCCACCAUUCCUCUGAAACUGAUCUUGCUAAGGUCUUAACUACCAGUUAGGCUUCUUCUCAGACUACCUUUACAUUUAACAGCAUACAGCUCCCAGACCCUACCUCUUCUUUGAGAGUCAGUGAAGAAAAAUGAUCCCCAGGAUUCCCAACAAAAUUCUCACAGCCUCUGAUCCUGGAUCAGUCAUGGAACACACAGGCUCUUCUGAUAUCCUGGCCAGAGAGUUUCAUAUGUACAUAUAUGUAACUUUUUAACAGUUACCUAGUAUUCCGUUGCAUGAAUGUGUCAUAAUGUAUUCAACUUCUCCUUUGAUGAUGGGCAUUUAGGUUUUUCUAGCAAUUUACUAACAUAAAUAAUGCCAGGAUGCACUUUCUUGUACCUUGACCACCCACAUACACUCUCAUACUCAAACUAUUCUUUCUUCACCAAACUCAUCAAGCUCAUAACUGCUGAAUUGUGAUUUUUGUGUUUUUAAGGAACUUUCCAUCACACCACCACCGUGUCACAUUGUAUGUUCCUGUGACCACUUUGAGGAAGGGAAGAGGGGAGGGGACACCGGGGUCUGCAAUAUCUAGACUUUGUCUUCAUUCUCUUCCGUUCACCAAAUAUAGUCCAGUUGUAAAAAGACAUGAGCUCUAUGAAGUUUACCCUAAAAUUAGAAGAAAGAAAAGGUUCGAUUUUCUAUAGAAGCCCCACUUGCCUUCUCAUCUCCCUGGGCCACCUGGGAGUGCAGGAGGGGUACCUUUCUCCUAAUCUGUUCUUCCUCAUAGCCUCUGCUUCCAGCCUGUCAAUUCACAAGAACUGUUAAAAACCUUGACAUUUCCAAUUUCCCUUCUUUUUCCAUUGUCUAAGAGCUGCUAUGCCCCAAGCCACAGAAAGUUCCUAUCACAACCCUCCAGCCUCAAAGAGGUAACAUUGCCCCCAGACCAAUGCCUGACUUCUUAGCCCUUGUCUUGGUCUUCUGCUGGAUGGUCCUGGCCUUCCCCACCCAUACUGCCUCUGUCCUGCGAAUCCAUCACUCUGAAGCUGUAAGUCAGCACCUCUGGCUAAUUAAAUGCGGCAUCUCUCAGAGGAAUGUCUGAGAGAUGUGUUCUUUCUGCUUCUGAUGCCUGAUAUUUUAAAAAUAAUGUCAUUUAUAAAAAUAAUGUCUUUACAAACCUCUCUGGGCUAACUUCUGUUUGGAAGUCCUAGAACUCGGCUCUAACACCCUCCAGAUCUCCAGGUACUGCCUGGUUACACUUUCUGUCCUUCUUUCAUUGCUGAUAAAUAAGCUUUCUCUUCUUUAACUUGCAGAACAUUUUUUCCCCAUUUUUUUCUCCUGAGCUUCCACAUUCUCAGUUCCAUGACAACACACCACCAACCCCUUUUCCAGUCUUUAGAACAGAAGUCCUCUUCCUCCUCCUGCCCGCCAUGCCCAGCAGGGAGUAAAAACACAGACUGAAACUGUCCCCUCUCCCACCCCUGCUUUUCUCCAUCAGCAUUCUCAACUCCACAGGAGCGUCCAGGAAAACUCCCAGCCCACUUUGAAAUAUAGUCUUCCUUCAGGUCACAACAUUUGCUGAUAUUUUAUAAAUAAAACUUUCUCUUCCUGGUACUUGGUAAACUGA
ensembl:lncRNA